rnacentral:lncRNA from 1 species
CGACAUCAUGAAAGCCUGUUCCUGCUGUACUCAGCUCCCCAUAGCUGUGAAGGGACAUCUUCCAAGGAGAGACUGAAAACCUUUCACUUUCUCUGGGACAGAUCAUCUGUAACAUUCACCCAGUGCUAGCACACACAUUGGAAAACGUUCUACUUUUGGCUCUUUCAUUUUGUCUUCAUAAGUGACUUUUAACUCAGUGCCAAGCAGUCUAGUCACAGUCUCUCAUACCCAUGUGAGGAAGGAAAACUAUUGCUGAAACCACCUUGUCAGAAGCAAGAUGUGACAUUUCCCAGGAGAGCUUUGAGAUUUUAUUACAGCUGGGAGAGAUUAUCUAUAACACACAUUCAAGCAAAGUACACUGUGCAGAAAAUCUCUGGCCUGUAGCUCUUUAGGAUCAUCCUGGAAAGUGCCUCUUCACAGCUUGCAGCUCACCGCCUUCACUCGGGCUCUCUCCUGUGUCAUGAAAGCACCUUAUUACUGAACUCAGUUGCCCAUAGCUGUGAAGGGACUUCUUCCAGGAAGAGAUUUAUAAGUUUUCACUACACCUGGGACAGAUUAUCUGUAAGAAAUAUUCAAUGAGGGUUCACAGAAAACCUCCUGCUUCUACCUCUUUAGUAUCUUCUUGAUAAGUGACUUUUAAUACACUCCAGUUCAGUCUACACACAGGCUCUGAUCGCAUGUGACGAAGGGAAACUAUUGCUAAGCUCUGCUUGCCAGGUGCUUGUAGUCACAUUUUCCUGGAAGAGCUCCUAAAUUUUCACUACAGCUGGGAGAGAAUAGCUAUAAAAUCCAUUCAAGGAAAGUACACUGUGCAGAAAAUCUCUGGCCUGUAGCUGUUUAGCAUGGUCCUAGUAAGGGCUCUUGCACACAUUGCAGUUCACCGCCUUCCCUCAGGCUCUCUCCCAGGUCAUGAAAGCAUCUUCCUGCUGAACUCAGAUGCCCAUAGCUGUGAAGGGGCUGCUUCAAAGGAGAGAUUUAAAAGCUUUCACUUCAGCUGGGACAGAUUAUCUGUAACUUUCAUUCAAUGAGGUUACAUUGUGUAGAAAAUCUCUGGCUUGUGGCUCUUUAGUAUCGUCUUCAUAAUUGACUUUUCAUACAUGCCAUUCAGUCUACACAGAUUCUCUCACUCUCAUGUGAUGAAGGAAAACUAUUGCUGAGCUCACCUUGACAGGAGCUGGAGGUGACACUCUCCUAGGAGAGCUUUUUAACAUUUUAUUACAGCUGUGAGAGAGUAUCUAUAGCAUCCAUUCAAGGAAAGUACAAUGUGCAGAAAAUCUCUGGCUUGUAGAUGGUUAGGAUCGUCCUUCUAAGUGCCUUCUCACACUGCAGUCCUGAGCCUUUGCUCGGAUUCUCUCUUCCAUUGCAUGAAACAUGUUUCUGCUGAACUCAGCUGCCCAUAUUGUGAAGGGGUUUCUUCCAUGGGGAGAUUGAAAAGUCUUCACUACAGCCAGGACAGGUUAUCUGUAACGUCAUUCAAAGAGGGUAUACAGUGUGGAAAAGGUCCUGCUUGUGGCUGUUUUGGAUCUUCUUGAUAAGUGACUUUUAAUACAUUGCCAUUCAGGCUACACACAGGCUCUCACGUGUGAUGAAGGAAAAUUCUGGCUGAGCUCUUCUUGCUCAGAGUCAUAUUGAUAUUUUCCUAAAAGGGCUUUUAAACAUUUCUCUACAGUUUGAAGAGAAUAUCUAUAAUAUCAAUUGAAAGAAAGUGCACUGUGCAGAAAAGCUCUCAACUCUAGCUCUUUAGGAUCAUCAGCAAGUGUCUUUUCAUACAUUGCAGUUCAGGCCCUUCACUCAGGCUCUCGCUCACAUGUAUUGGAAGAAUGUUCCUCCUGAACUCUGCUUCCUGGUAGGUGUUAAAGGUUUUGUUUCUAGAAGAGAUUUAAAAUUUUCUUUUAAAAUUUCCACUACAGCUGGGACACAUUAUCUGUAACAUCCA